rnacentral:lncRNA from 10 species
GAGUUGUCAUGUUCAAUCUGAUUUUCCUAGCCCUUUGAGGAACCGUUUGAGGUGUGGCACGAUACAGCAAGUCAGCUGCCAAAGAGGGGCUUAGCCACAGGAAGUGCGUGCCCAGAACGCAUCUCCCGUGUCCCUCACAGCAGUUCUAUGAGGCUGGCUGCCCUGUUUGACAACUGAGGCCCGCAUCUUCCCCGGAAUCACCGACGUGUGGCUCUGAGCCCUGUCCCAGGGAUUUUCUCCAUCAGAGAAGAGGAGCACUUUGAGCUUUGAGAGGAGCAGCCCUCUGCAAGUGAAGUGGAAAAAAAGGAAGCAGGCGAGGAGGCCCAUCCAGACCCUCCCCCAAGACCCUUGCUGAAAUGGCUGGGAUGCGGCGUGCAGAAGCUCUCCUUUCCUUCACAGCCCCUGGCUUUCCAAGAGUCCCUGCCCACCCAGAUGCCCGCUGGCAGAUGCAGCCUCAUCUCAAGGACACUGCUUGCUGGAUAAAUCCCUCACCACCCUAGAGACAGCCCACGGUCCUGAGACAAGGAUGCGGGCCAGGCUUGUUGCACGUAAGCGCCUCCCGCAGAAACCAGUGAGGCCGGAGUUCCAGAGGAAAUGAUGUAGGGACAGAGGCAGAGGGCCUCCAGGAGGCACCAGCCCCAGAGUCUUCCCUAGAAUCAGACUUUAAGCACAAGCAGGGAGGGAAAGCACUUGAGCAGUGCCCGUCCCUGCAUACCUGGCCUCUGCUGGAACCCAUGCAGGGACAGGACACUUCUUUAUCAGCAAUCCUGUUCCUCUCCUGGGCAGCUUCAACCUGAACAUCCUCCUUCACCUUGAGCUAAAAUGGGUUUCUUGUCACCCUUGCCCAUCAAACCUGGCCUUGCCCUCAGGAACCAC